rnacentral:misc_RNA from 1 species
AACGCACAUUGCGCCCGCCAGCACUCUGGCGGGCAUGCCUGUUCGAGCGUCAUUUCCACCCUCAGGCCUGCCUUUCUGGCGGCCUGGCGUUGGGGCUUCUGUGGGCCUAUCUAGGCCCUACAGGCCCUCAAGACCAGUGGCGGGCUCGCCUGGACUCCGAGCGCAGUAAUUUUGUUAUCUCGCUCCGGGGGCCUCCGGGCGGGUUCCGGCCGUCAAAACCCCAAAUCUUUUUCAGAAGGUUGACCUCGGAUCAGGUAGGAAUACCCGCUGAACUUAA